CACAACGGCGGUGGGGGGGGGGGGUGGUGGGGUCUGUGUGUGUGUGUGUGUAUGUGUGUGUGUGUCUGUGUUUGGGGGGUGGGACCCGCGUUUUCCCCAACGGCGGGGCGUGUGUCGGUAGCGAUUGGCCCCGCACCUCCGCGCCCUGCUCGGUAACCGGGGCGCCGCGCCGCCAGCGCGCCUCAGCGCGGCGGGGGUGGGGGGGGGGUGUGCGGCGGAGCGGCGGCCCAGCCCCCCCGCCCCCGUGGUACGCGCCGCCCCGGUGUAAACAAGCCGGUCAUCGGGGCGGCUGGCUCGUGUCCCCCCCCCCCGCGCCGAUCCUUUUCCCGCCUCACCGGACACGGCACCGGGGGGUGAUUUUGGAGGGGGGGGGGGGGGGACGGGACACGGCGGAGCGAGCUCGGCCCACGGGGCUCACCUGAGGCGCGGCGGUGAGCCGUUUCUCCCCGUGUUUUCCUGCCCCCCGCGUGGGUGAUGUGAGCAUCUGCGGCCGGUCAGGAGCAUCUGCAGAGCCAGUUUACGGAGGAGCUCUAAAAAUGACUGGUUUCUUGACUCA